rnacentral:rRNA from 1 species
CCUACGGGAGGCAGCAGUGGGGAAUAUUGGACAAUGGGCGGAACCUGAUCCAGCCAUGCCGCGUGAGUGAUGACGGCCUUAGGGUUGUAAAGCUCUUUUAACAGGGACGCGGUACCUGUAGAAUAAGCCCCGGCAAACUUCGUGCCAGCAGCCGCGGUAAUACGAAGGGGGCUAGCGUUGUUCGGAAUUACUGGGCGUAAAGCGCACGUAGGCGGAUUGUUAAGUCGGGGGUGAAAUCCUGAGGCUCAACUCAGAACUGCCUUCGAUACUGGCGAUCUUGAGUUCGGAAGAGGUUGGUGGAACAGCUAGUGUAGAGGUGAAAUUCGUAGAUAUUAGCUAGAACACCAGUGGCGAAGGCGGCCAACUGGUCGAACUGACGCUGAGGUGCGAAACGUGGGGAGCAAACAGGAUUAGAUACCCUUGUAGUC